GUUCAGGCAUGUGUCUCUGCUAAAUUAUUUCUUCAGAGGAAGCGAAGCCCCUUAUAUGGUUUUACACUCCAUUCCUAAGACACUUGGAGAUGUCUUUUUUCUGCUCUCACAGAGCGGGUGCUCAUUUCUUUUGAAUCUGAGGGCUUUUAGGACCUUAGUGGUUUCCCAGGCCACCACAUUGGCAUCUAAGCAUGGCAAAAUCAACCCUCUGAGACUGCUCCUGUCACUCCAGAAUUUGUGCAGGGGAAUGUCCAGGCAAGUAGAGAGAGCAGCGCUCAAGUUCCCUGCUGACCAACUCUGCCGGUCUACACACACACUGCAGAGCUAUGCCCAAGCCCCAGGAAGGAACAUCAUCUCCAGGCUUUCCUCUGAGCUCAGGGACACGAUGUGCUCAUUUUUCCGAGAAAAACAUUUUAGUGAGAAGUGACAGGAGACGGUCCUGCAGCUGCACAGAGGCCAGACUGGGACUGCCAGUCCCUGCAGCUCCCCUCUCCCAUCAGGCAGUUUUUAUUAUUGCAGGAUAUUCUGUCCCUGUUUACAAGUUGCCUUCAUUUGAUAGCUGCCUCCAGUUUUCAAAAGAGCUUUCGGGUUCUGUCCGUUUUUUGCUCCAGCACAUCACAGCCAAAAUAAUCAUGACAUCCCUAGAGCAGUAGUUCUUAGCUCUGUUCAUUAGAAUCACGUGUGGAACUUCUAAAAAUUCUGACGUGGACCUGGGCUCUAGACCAAUUACCUCAUAAUCUCUAUGGGUGGUAUCCAGGCAUCAGUAUUGUAUAGUUUCUCACAUGCAGCCAACAUAGAAAACCAGUGCCUGAGGAUAUUCCAACAAGCAGUUCUAUUUCUUUUAAGGACUUCUCACUUGUCCCACCUGUCAUGUCCAAACCUGCUUGACACAGGCUGUUUCUCUGGAUACCUGCUGUGACGCAGCCAAGAAGUUGCCAGGUUCAAUGCCUGAGUGGCAGUCACAAUGCUGCUUGACUACCACAUGCCAGACCAUGUGACUUGCAUUGGUCUUUAAACCUUCAACCUGGGACCAAGAUUGUAGGUAUCACCAAAGGACCCUAAGGAAGAGACUCUUCCCUCCCUGCUUCGCUCCACUAGGUCCAAUCUGCAUCCGCCCACCUCGGAACAGCUCUUCUCACUCCAGUAACUAAAGGGAAAGAUCUUCAAACCAAACCAUCCGCUCCGGAAGCGAAGCUCUUGGGAUCUAGAACCUAAGAGCAUUCCAAAGACAGGGGUCGCGUCAGCUUCCGCCUAGCACCUGGUAAGCGCUCAGAAAGUAUUUAUUGAACGGAUGAAUGAACUCUUUUAGACUCCAGAUAGCUUCGGGGUGGGGCUGGUGGGGUAAAGAAGACCAAAGCAGCAGCUUUUGCUACAUUUUGAGUUUGAUACUUUUCGGUUCCGAAGCCAGGAGAGAAGUCUUCGAGUCUCCAGGAAGCGUAGGACGUGAAUUAAAACCACCGAGAAUAAAAGCUUGCCUCCUGGUUCCCUUUUGCUCCUUUGAGACCUAACUGCAAAUAGGCGGUGCCAAUCUCCGCCAGCUCCCUAGUCUGGACCGAACAGAGUCUACAGAGUCUUCCUCCCCCCGUCCUGCUUGCCCGAAAGGAAGGCUGUGUCAGAAUGGAUCGGUUCCUGCUGCUGGGAAGCCUUCAGUCCCUUUCUUUAGAACUAACUCUUCGUCUGCCAGACAGGUCCCCUUUCCCCUGAUUAGUAGUAGCCACGUGGCGCCUGUUAUUACGGGCGACUAGGGACGGAGAUAGCCAGAGACGCCCUUCCCUGGGGACGGAGCCGUGAUUCUGAGCCCGCACGGGGGCUCCUAGCACCCAGGAUUCCGGAGAACUUCCCUCUUCUCAUCUUCCCCGGAAGCCCAAGCCAGGUUCCAGAAUGGGGGAGAAAAAAGAUUCACACCUAUUCUCUUCUUGACACACGGAAGGUAGACACACCUCAGUUCUCCAAAUGUCAGCGUUUCUGUUCUGGGCCUACCAAACUUUGGUUUCCAUGCUCCUUUUGAUUACAUCCAAGUGGAAAUUACAGAAUGCCAAUAGCUGAUGUGUCUCUUUUGCUAGUGUGUGGCAGUAGCAGAGAAAUAAAUUCACAGUUAGUGCCUAGUC